rnacentral:sRNA from 1 species
ACGUGCUAUUAUUUAAGUGACUAUUUAAAAGGAGUUAAUAAAUAUGCGGCAAGGUAUUCUUAAAUAAACUGUCAAUUUGAUAGCAGGAACAAAUAAUUAGAUGUCCUUUUUUAGGAGGGCUUAGUUUUUUGUACCCAGUUUAAGAAUACCUUUAUCAUGUGAUUCUAAAGUAUCCAGAGAAUAUCUGUAUGCUUUGUAUACCUAUGGUUAUGCAUAAAAAUCCCAGUGAUAAAAGUAUUUAUCACUGGGAUUUUUAUGCCCUUUUGGGUU